UAUCCUACGGGACGCAGCAGUGGGAAAUAUUGGGCAAUGGGCGCAAGCCUGACCCAGCAACGCCGCGUGAAGGAAGAAGGCUUUCGGGUUGUAAACUUCUUUUGACAGGGAAGAGUAGAAGACGGUACCUGUCGAAUAAGCCACGGCUAACUACGUGCCAGCAGCCGCGGUAAUACGUAGGUGGCAAGCGUUGUCCGGAUUUACUGGGUGUAAAGGGCGAGUAGGCGGGAUUGCAAGUCAGAUGUGAAAACUAUGGGCUCAACCGAUAGAGUGCAUUUGAAACUGCAGUUCUUGAGUGAUGGAGA
rnacentral:rRNA from 1 species